AUUGAACGCUGGCGGCAUGCCUUACACAUGCAAGUCGAACGGUAACAGGUCUUCGGAUGCUGACGAGUGGCGAACGGGUGAGUAAUACAUCGGAACGUGCCUAGUAGUGGGGGAUAACUACUCGAAAGAGUGGCUAAUACCGCAUGAGAUCUACGGAUGAAAGCAGGGGAUCGCAAGACCUUGUGCUACUAGAGCGGCCGAUGGCAGAUUAGGUAGUUGGUGGGAUAAAAGCUUACCAAGCCGACAAUCUGUAUCUGGUCUGAGAGGACGAUCAGCCACACUGGGACUGAGACACGGCCCAGACUCCUACGGGAGGCAGCAGUGGGGAAUUUUGGACAAUGGGCGCAAGCCUGAUUCAGCAAUGCCGCGUGCAGGAUGAAGGCCUUCGGGUUGUAAACUGCUUUUGUACGGAACGAAAAGCCCUGGGUUAAUACCCUGGGGUCAUGACGGUACCGUAAGAAUAAGCACCGGCUAACUACGUGCCAGCAGCCGCGGUAA
rnacentral:rRNA from 1 species